CAAUAGCGUAUAUUAAAGUUGUUGCAGUUAAAAAGCUCGUAGUUGGAUUUGUGGCGUACGGUGUGUUCCGGGCACUUGUUGUCUGAGUAACCUGCUGUUGCCAUCCUUGGGUGGAACCUGUGUGGCAUUAGGUUGUCGUGCAGGGGAUGCCCAUCAUUUACUGUGAAAAAAUUAGAGUGUUCAAAGCAGGCUUAUGCCGUUGAAUAUAUUAGCAUGGAAUAAUGGGAUAGGACUUUUUUGCUAUUUUGUUGGUUUGCGCAAAGAGGUAAUGAUUAAUAGGGACAGUUGGGGGUAUUCGUAUUCCAUAGUCAGAGGUGAAAUUCUUGGAUUUUUGGAAGACGAACUACUGCGAAAGCAUUUACCAAGGAUGUUUUCAUUAA
rnacentral:rRNA from 1 species